UAGUGGCGGACGGGUGAGUAACACGUGGGAACGUGCCCUUUGGUUCGGAACAACUCAGGGAAACUUGAGCUAAUACCGGAUGUGCCCUUCGGGGGAAAGAUUUAUCGCCAUUGGAGCGGCCCGCGUCUGAUUAGCUAGUUGGUGGGGUAAAGGCCCACCAAGGCGACGAUCAGUAGCUGGUCUGAGAGGAUGAUCAGCCACAUUGGGACUGAGACACGGCCCAAACUCCUACGGGAGGCAGCAGUGGGGAAUCUUGCGCAAUGGGCGAAAGCCUGACGCAGCCAUGCCGCGUGAAUGAUGAAGGUCUUAGGAUUGUAAAAUUCUUUCACCGGGGACGAUAAUGACGGUACCCGGAGAAGAAGCCCCGGCUAACUUCGUGCCAGCAGCCGCGGUAAUACGAAGGGGGCUAGCGUUGCUCGGAAUUACUGGGCGUAAAGGGAGCGUAGGCGGACUGUUAAGUUAGAGGUGAAAGCCCAGGGCUCAACCUUGGAAUUGCCUUUGAUACUGGCAGUCUUGAGUACGGAAGAGGUAUGUGGAACUCCGAGUGUAGAGGUGAAAUUCGUAGAUAUUCGGAAGAACACCAGUGGCGAAGGCGACAUACUGGUCCGUUACUGACGCUGAGGCUCGAAAGCGUGGGGAGCAAACAGGAUUAGAUACCCUGGUAGUCCACGCCGUAAACGAUGAGUGCUAGUUGUCGGCAUGCAUGCAUGU
rnacentral:rRNA from 1 species